AUGAAUCUCGGGAGGGUGAAGAGUGAACGAACAAAGACGGAAUCUCGAAGAACAUAGCAUAAGAGAGCCCGGAAGAUGGAUCUAAGUGAGGCUCGAUCGCUGAAAAAUCCUCGAGAAACUUAAACUUGAGGAACGAGUGAUCUCCGAAGGACCAACCCUUCAAGGAUCGAUAAUUGAAGAAUGAAACUUCGGAAUAUUUAAUUAAAAAAUAUUGAUUAGAAGAUAUUAAGUUUCGAGAGAACGAACUUUGAAAAAUUGUCGUUGGGAAGAUUCAGCCUCAAAAUUCGAACUUCGAAAUAUAAAGAAGAAUAUCCAGGGUCCAAGCUAUGUUGAGUUGCGAGUCCCAAACAUCCUCUCACCCCAUUUUCUCCAAAUAAGAUUGCGUUCACAUGAUAAAUCGUCCUCACGACGUGAGAUAAAUCGUCCUCUGAAAUAAAAGAACGAAUUCACUUGAUUUGUUCGUCUUCUGUAAAGUGGAUGCUUUCCUCUGUCAUUAGUUACAGUGCCUCGCAUAGCGCGCACCAAGGUAUUCAUCAGAUGGUCCAGAAUGCUGCCAAGAAUAAUAGUUCUCUUGACGCGAAUUAUCGUGAAUGCUGACAGAAAAUUGUAUUUAUGAGACAUUAGGAUUAAUAUGCGCGGACUUCAAUCUUGAUAAAUGCUCAUAAGUGCAAUAUUUUUUUUAAACAAUUGAUGAAAUUGAUCUCUUAAUAUGUUAAUAAUUCUUUUGAGCGGUUGGAAUUUACUUUGAAGUUCAAUGAGAGAAAGAGAGAAAGAGGGAUAUUUAUUGGUGCAGCUAGUGAGCAAAACGGCCUUAUUCGCUAAUUGUAGCUAGCAGUUCGCUAUAAUUGGCAGGUGCUCGGGGCGACUGGCUAGCUCGCGCCAUCGUAAAGAUCCCCACUACCUUUUUACCUCACUAGCAAGCCGGUGCUCGUGCCGAUUCGCAUUGCCGAGUUUCAACCCCGAAAGGGCGCAUCCUUUGUCGUUGAAGUAUCAUCGGUUGCUCGAUGUCAUCACAUUCUGUCGCAAGAGCAGCUUCGAUAUGAGUGUGGAAAAGCGUCCAGACGUGUGUGUACCAGCCAAAAUUCUGAAGCUCAAGUGGAAUGUCUCGAGGGACAGGGCAGAUAUGGACAUCAUCUCGCUGCUGAAGUGUCAACAAACCAUUUCCAGAGGAAGAAUUUAAAUGAAUAUAUGGACAAAAUAAGGCUAAACCCAUCGCUUCAUACCGAGACCGGCUGUAUCAUCGAAAAGCAGUGAUUUAUGGAUUCGCUUCAGCCUGUUAUCGGGACGAGAGAUGCAACGGGGUGUUACGCGAGCGGUUUGACGUUGCGCCAAGAUUUGAUCUCAAUGGGUGCAGCGAUGUAACUGAUACACUAUGAACUUGAACUUCCUCCGAGGAUCCAGCAUCGAACAAUUGAACAACAUCC